rnacentral:miRNA from 1 species
UGAUGAUGAUGAUGAUUAUGAUGAUGAUUAUGAUGAUGAUUAUGAUGAUCAUGAUGAUUAUGAUGAUCAUGAUGAUGAUCAUGAUGAUCCUUUCUC